GGAGGGCGCAAGCGUUGUUCGGAAUCAUUGGGCGUAAAGCGGGUGUAGGCUGCUUGGCAAGUCGGGUGUGAAAUCCCAGGGCCCAACCCUGGAACUGCACUCGAAACUGUCUCGCUAGAGUCCCGGAGAGGAUGGCAGAAUUCCCGGUGUAGAGGUGAAAUUCGUAGAUAUCGGGAGGAAUACCAGUGGCGAAGGCGGCCAUCUGGACGGUGACUGACGCUGAGACCCGAAAGCGUGGGGAGCAAACAGGGAUUAGAUACCCUGGAAGUCCACGCCGUAAACGUUGGGUGCUCGUCGUCGCGGGUAUUGACCCCUGCGGUGACCCAAGCUAACGCAUGAAGCACCCCGCCUGGGGAGUACGGUCGCAAGACUA
rnacentral:rRNA from 1 species